rnacentral:misc_RNA from 1 species
GUAGGUGAACCUGCGGAAGGAUCAUUAACACGUUAUCCACGUAUCCACACGGGUAUCCUGUUUUCACCCCCUCUCUCUUCGGGAGAAUGAACUGAGUCGGUAGAGUCGUUGUAGUGGGUCUGCAUUGCGCGUCCAGACUUUAUCAGCAAACUUGCACGGUCACGGCCAUUGUCGUUUCAGUGCAGACGGUUGUAUUUCUCGGAGGAUUCAUGCGCACGUUCGGGUCUCCUACAUUGUACCUUUUCUGUGC